rnacentral:rRNA from 1 species
UACGUAGGGGGCAAGCGUUGUCCGGAUUUACUGGGCGUAAAGAGCGUGUAGGCGGCCAGGCAGGUCUGUUGUGAAAACCCGAGGCUCAACUUCGGGCUUGCAGUCGAUACGGGCAGGCUAGAGUUCGGUAGGGGAGACUGGAAUUCCUGGUGUAGCGGUGAAAUGCGCAGAUAUCAGGAGGAACACCGGUGGCGAAGGCGGAUCUCUGGGCCGAUACUGACGCUGAGGAGCGAAAGCGUGGGGAGCGAACAGG